GAGAAAGAGAAAUAGGGAGAGAGACAGAGAGAGGAGAUGAGAGGACUGCAGCAAAUAACGACCCCUUUUAACAGUAUUUUCACUAUCAGAGACCCGUCAGUGGCAGUGUCUUCAGGGGAGUAUGUUGGAGACAGUGUGAAGGUAAAAGCUUCGCGAGAAAGCAGCUCGUUUCUCGCGAGAAAUGAGGGUCUCGCGAGAAAUGGUGGAAGGAAACAAGGAGGUCUUGUCUGUAGACCCAAGGACUCAAAGAAGUAUGACGCCUGUCUCCCCAGGGCUAUUGUGAGUGAGAGGGGACACACCCUGUUCUCCACAUCCUUAAGGGUAGAAAUAGAACAUGUGUAGAAGCCUCAGGAAGACGGCCUGGGGCCCAACACAAGAGGUUUCUCCAGCUGGCGCCGACCAAGGGAGAUGCUGGUGCCCGAGGGAGGAGGCGAGUUCCGGUCACUGGAGGACUUCGGCCAUCAGGCGGAGGAAUUUGCGGAACCAUCUGAUAAAUGAGAAUCUCACCCAGAAGGUGAGCUGCACCCUCUCCCUCAAGCAUUUUCCCAGUCACCCACAGGGGAAGACAGUGCAUUCCAAGGAGGGGGAACAGGAAAGGAUCCAAGCCUGGGUCAGCUGCAGACUGAGAAGAGACGAGAAGACAGGUGGAGAAGGAGCCGGCCCUGCAGCAGGAGUGAGGCCGCAGAAGUCCCAGCCCCGGCUUCCUGAAGAGAGGGCAUGGGUCCCCCUGCCCAUCGGAAGAUGAGGGAGGGCCCAGCCUCACCUGGAACGGCUUUUUCCGGGGAAUGCCCCCUGUUUCAAGAGUGAAACUCCUCCCUGUCUCGGUGAAAGCCUCUGCCUCCUGCUGCUGUCACUGCCGGGCCCACGGCUCUUCUCCCCAUGCCCUCCACACCUCCACCUCGUCAGGUAGGGCCUUGAUCCACACCCAGGUCUCUGCCAGCAUCCACGCUGUUGACUGGAACAGAGGACCAGUCUUGACCUACCCUACUCCCUCUUCUAGCUUACCUACCUUUCUCUCUCUCCCCUAAACCCAGUGUUGCCCCCCACCCCCACCAGCUCGUCUGAUCCUCUGCAGGCUCACCUCCUCUUACGGCCAGGGAUUUCCUGGCUUUCCUUGUUCCCUGCAGUGCGGCCACCAUGGACACCACACACCCUGGCUGCCCCCAGGUGCGGUCAUCUCUAGGGUCAGGAUGACCCUAUCUCAGGAUGUGGUCACCUGGCUUCACUCAUCAAAUUUCCACUGAGGCUGGCUGACUCAGGCUCCGGGUGGGGCAGGUGGGGCCCCCACACUCAGCUUAAGAGUUCAGGGCACAGUAAUUAUAUGACCUGCCCCUUGCCUUCCUGCUGCUCUGGGUCCUGUUUUUCUAAUCACUCAAUAGGCAUUUCCACUUGAAAAUCCCUCUGUCAUUUCAAAACCAGUGUUUGAAACAAGAUCCUGCACCCUCUCCUGCCCCCCCACCCCCACACACGCACAGAGUUUUCUCCUAACAGCUUGGUUUCUCUGUGGCUCACCACACCUCUCCCAUCACCCCGUUUUCCGCUAAACCUUGGUGCCAUCCUCUGUUGCUCCCUCUUCUGGUCUUCCAGGUUAUAAUGAAUCAGCAAGUGCUCUGGUUUUUUCCUUCCAGUUCUCCUUCCCCUCUGUUCCCUGGGGUAUGCCCGGGGACCAACCUACUCUCCUCCACCUUGAGCAGAG
ensembl:lincRNA